rnacentral:rRNA from 1 species
UAGACCUACGGGACGCAGCAGUCGGGAAUAUUGCGCAAUGGAGGAAACUCUGACGCAGUGACGCCGCGUAUAGGAAGAAGGUUUUCGGAUUGUAAACUAUUGUCAUCAGGGAAGAUAAAAGACAGUACCUGAGGAGGAAGCUCCGGCUAACUAUGUGCCAGCAGCCGCGGUAAUACAUAGGGAGCAAGCGUUAUCCGGAUUUACUGGGUGUAAAGGGUGCGUAGGUGGCAGGGCAAGUCAGAUGUGAAAGCCCGGGGCUCAACCCCGGUACUGCAUUUGAAACUGUCCAGCUGGAGUGCAGGAGG